CGUUUGCUAAUACCUUAUACUCUUAUUAACAGAAGUUAAUAAGGGAAAGAUUUAUUGGUAAGAGAUUAGCCUGUAUUGUAUCAGUUAGUUGGUGGGGUAAUGGCUUACCAAGACUAUGACACAUAACUGGUUUUGAGAGGAUGAUCAGUCACACUGGAACUGAGACACGGUCCAGACUCCUACGGGAGGCAGCAGUGGGGAAUAUUGCACAAUGGACGGAAGUCUGAUGCAGCAACGCCGCGUGGAGGAUGACACAUUUCGGUGCGUAAACUCCUUUUAUAUGAGAAGAUAAUGACGGUAUUAUAUGAAUAAGCACCGGCUAACUCCGUG
rnacentral:rRNA from 1 species